UGCCUCACCCAUCUACACACCUGUUCCCACUUCUUUCAUCAGCCCUGCAUUUACCUGGCCUACUCUGCCCAUUCCUCACCUACAACGCAUUCCCCAUAUAUAUAUCGGUCAACUUUCAUUGUUCACUGCCAGAUUGUUAAGUUAGUUCAUAUUCUUGCUUUCUAGCCUCUUUUUUCUGUUACCCUGCUUACCUGAAACCUGAACUCUGGAACUUGUUUUUGGCUACCUGACCUUUUGCAUGUUUAUUGGACUUCCUGCCUGCACCUAGUUGGAUUUGUUUGCCUGUUUAGGACUACCUCCCUGGUUUUGGUUCUGGUGGUUUAUCAAAACUGGAAAACAAAAGGGGAAAGGCAAGUAGGGAGAAGUCCAAAAAAGGCAGAUAUAUGGUCAUAACAAGCAGGCAAAACAGGUAACAAGAAGGCUGAACAUUAAGACUAUAGCAAAACUGGCAGGGAAAAGAAAGUGAAGAGGCCUGUGUAUACAGUAUAUGCCAGGGAGCUGCUUAGGGGAUUGGAAAUGGGAACAGGUGUGUAUCUGGGUGUAGAAGUCAGGUGAUAGCUAGAGGUGGAAACACUGAGGACUACUGCAGGGCGGGGGCAAGCAGGCUCUGAAAUGACAGGAAGAAUUAGUGGCUGGCAAACUGACAACAGUUUGUAAUAGGUCCGAUGGCUGCCGAUGACUGCUUUCAUCGUCUCCUGGGGACACACUUUGACCCCUGUGCUGAAGAGCGCUGACCUCUUCGUCCGAUGUCCGUCCUGCUCCGCUCUGACAUUUGUGGUGUGUCUGAUUGGUCUGGAGGCUUCUAGAAAGUGUCGGUACUUCACAUCCCUGAGUCCAGAAAAACCGUGGUCAUGAAGUUUAGAUUCCUCCUUCCUGGGUGCCCACAGCAAAUCCCUGCCUCUCAUUCCAGCAAUUGUGGGUGCCAAGUGAGGUUUGGGUGCAUAGGGUGAUGGCUGCGCUGAAAGAAGUGAGUAGACACAGUGGAGGCAUGUGUGGCCUCUCCUGUUAUGGUGUCUCAGGGUGGGAAAGCUCCAUGUUGUUAGUCUCCACCCUCAUGUGAAGAGGAUUAGCC